AUUGAACGCUGGCGGCAUGCUUUACACAUGCAAGUCGAACGGCAGCGCGGGCUUCGGCCUGGCGGCGAGUGGCGAACGGGUGAGUAAUACAUCGGAACGUGCCCAGUAGUGGGGGAUAGCUCGGCGAAAGCCGGAUUAAUACCGCAUACGACCUGAGGGUGAAAGCGGGGGAUCUUCGGACCUCGCGCUAUUGGAGCGGCCGAUGGCAGAUUAGCUAGUUGGUGGGGUAAAGGCCUACCAAGGCGACGAUCUGUAGCUGGUCUGAGAGGACGACCAGCCACCUGGGGACUGAGCCCCGGCCCAGGCUCCUGCGGGAGGCAGCAGUGGGGAAUUUGGGAAAAUGGGCGAAAACCGUAACCAGCAAGGCCCGGUUUGGGAGGAAGGCCUUCGGGUUGUAAAGACUUUUUGGCGGGAACGAAAAGGACUUGCCCAAACCCCCGGUUCGAUGACGGGACCCCAAGAAAAAGCCCCGGCUAACUACUU
rnacentral:rRNA from 1 species